UGUGGGAGAACAGCAGCGGGAAUGAUUGCGACCGUGUUAAUGACCAUAACGGGAAGAAAAGCUCGCACUGAAACAUUCCCACAUCCACCUUUUCUGCCCCGCUGUUCGGUUCUCAGACCAGAUGUACUGUUUGUGUGAAGGCGUUUUCAGUGGGGAACCUUCAGGGCCUUCUGGACCUUCAGAGAAGCCCUAAUGAUUUCUGCAAACUAAAAGCAGAUACAGAUGAGCCGAGCCGCUCUCCCAUUGGUUAGGACUUCAGGAGCAGGACCGGAGGCCUUAAAUGUUAGAUUAACUACCAGCAUAUUUAAGA